rnacentral:lncRNA from 1 species
UUCUGAUAAAAAGCAGUUUUUCUGAAUCCCACAUGUUCCAGACUGAAGUGAAAUGGCAGAAGAAAAGGCUCAAGGAGAGAAGUGGUGUGUCAUUCACUCAGCUGCCUCGCUUGGAGCAGAGCACAGCUAGACAAAACUAGAAGACCCUUGCUUAGGCAACUUCUUGCAAAGAUAUUCUUGCUCCAGGUCUAAGCUUAUGAAACUAUAUUGGGCUGUACUUCCCAAGAGCUUAGUCAGCAAUGCCAAUGCAUUAUGGAAUCAAUGGGGAACAG